CUGGGAGUGGACAGGGAUCCGGCACAGCUCGGCCUCUCUCUCCAUGUUUUUUUUCUGAUCGCAGAGUUCCGCCAAUUGCGGUGCAAUUUGUUUUUGUUUUGGUUCCUGCGGCUGGAGCAAGAAGUCCUCGUUUUUUUCCUUGUUGCGAUGCUAGUGGUGCUGGCGGCCAAGAGCUGGGCUGUGUAGCUUGUGGGUUCGAUUGGCAAGGUGCCGCAAGCUGAUGUUUUGUUCUUCUACAAUGACUCCCAUUUUGGCUGUAGUGGACAGUGCUAAGAUCGGUUGCAGAUCCACCUUCUUCGUCGGCGGCGCAACUUUAAAGAAGGUGGCAAUGUCGUGUGGAUAAUACUACCUCUCCCUUCUCGACGUUGGACUUCGGCGACGCACGAGUGAACUAAUCGGAUGUUGCGGCUGGAAUAUCGUGGUGGUGCGGCUGCUUGUUUUCUUUUCCUUUCAACAUUGUUGGCUCUUUUCCCCGUUGGUGGCGGUAUUGGUUAACAACUCCUACCCGAUUCUCGUUUUGUAGUUUCAUUCCCAUUUUUAUUUUUCAUUUCUGCUCUGUUCCUCUCUCCUUUGUUGUUCGGAAGUGGCGUGCAACGACGUUGUUCAUGUUGCCCUUCGUUUCCCCUAGUCACAUCAUUGUGGGCGGAGAGGUUGGCACUACGGCCGACAUUGUUUAGAUUGCUUCCUUCCUCGUGGAUCAGGGAAAACAGCGGCGGUACUUCUUGGAUUUAGAUUCCUGAUUUAGGGAGGUUCGAAUUAUGAUGGUGGAGGAACUUGUGGUUCUUGUCUUUGGACAAAAUCUCCUUGCUAUAGUUUCCCACGGUCUUGUGGUGAUUGGAGCUGCAGCAUGUCGAGAGUCAAUUCACCUUGUUGCUGGGCUGCGAUGCUGUGGCGAAGUUUUGGCCAUCUACUGGUUGCAUUUAGUUUUGUUGCCGCUCAUUUCCUCGAAGAUUUAGUUCAGUGGCGUUGUGGCAGUUCCUACGUGCAGAGAGCUGCUGGAUUUGUGUGAGGUGUGCAAGGCUUUGUGCAGUGCUCUUGUCAACAGCCUUGUUGAGAGUGGCAGCCGCGGGUUGCAUCUUCCGUCAUCAACAUUCCUUGUGGCCCCGCUUUAGCAAUUCCAAACGCUCAUCAAUAGCUUCCAAGCACAGGUCAUCAUCUUCGCUCAGAGAGGCUCACGUUGUAUUCGGAGCGGCUGUUGGAAUCUCAUUGUCAACGUCGUCGUUGGGUAAAGCAGUAACAAUGUUACUCGGCAUUCGGCGGCUUAUGUUCAUUUAGGCAAUUAAGUUGGUGUUUCAUCCUUUCUAGAUGUCGCAAUCUGCGGUAGUGAUUGACGACUUUAGUGUGCUUGGGUUGUCUAUCAUCGAUGCUGCGAAGCUCAAAUGCUAUGCAUAUCAUUUCCAAUCAAUACCAAUCAACAUCGAGAAUUAGGCAAGAUCUACCAAGAUUAUAUUGUUGAAAUUUUAGUUUGAAUAAAAUUAUAUCAGGAUGAAUUUGGGUCAA